rnacentral:rRNA from 1 species
GACGAACGCUGGCGGCGUGCUUAACACAUGCAAGUCGAACGGAAAGGCCCCUUUUGGGGUACUCGAGUGGCGAACGGGUGAGUAACACGUGAGUAACCUACCCUUGACUUCGGGAUAACUUCAUGAAACUGGGGCUAAUACCGGAUAGGAAUCCUUUCUGCAUGGUGGGGGUUGGAAAGCUUCGGCGGUUUUGGAUGGAGUCGCGGCUUAUCAGCUUGUUGGUGGGGUAGUUGCUUACCAAGGCUUUGACGGGUAGCCGGCCUGGGAGGGCGACCGGCCACAUUGGGACUGAGAUACGGCCCAGACUCCUACGGGAGGCAGCAGUGGGGAAUAUUGCACAAUGGGCGGAAGCCUGAUGCAGCAACGCCGCGGGGGGGAUGACGGCCUUCGGGUUGUAAACCGCUUUCAGCAGGGGAGAAGCUUGUGGUGACGGUACCUGCAGAAGAAGCACCGGCUAACUACGUG